ACGCUGGCGGCGUGCCUAAUACAUGCAAGUAGAACGCUGAAGGAGGAGCUUGCUUCUCUGGAUGAGUUGCGAACGGGUGAGUAACGCGUAGGUAACCUGCCUGGUAGCGGGGGAUAACUAUUGGGAACGAUAGCUAAUACCGCAUAACAGUAGAUGUUGCAUGACAUUUGCUUAAAAGGUGCAAUUGCAUCACUACCAGAUGGACCUGCGUUGUAUUAGCUAGUUGGUGGGGUAACGGCUCACCAAGGCGACGAUACAUAGCCGACCUGAGAGGGUGAUCGGCCACACUGGGACUGAGACACGGCCCAGACUCCUACGGGAGGCAGCAGUAGGGAAUCUUCGGCAAUGGACGGAAGUCUGACCGAGCAACGCCGCGUGAGUGAAGAAGGUUUUCGGAUCGUAAAGCUCUGUUGUAAGAGAAGAACAGGUGUGAGAGUGGAAAGUUCACACUGUGACGGUAUCUUACCAGAAAGGGACGGCUAACUACGUGCCAGCAGCCGCGGUAAUACGUAGGUCCCGAGCGUUGUCCGGAUUUAUUGGGCGUAAAGCGAGCGCAGGCGGUUAGAUAAGUCUGAAGUUAAAGGCUGUGGCUUAACCAUAGUACGCUUUGGAAACUGUUUAACUUGAGUGCAAGAGGGGAGAGUGGAAUUCCAUGUGUAGCGGUGAAAUGCGUAGAUAUAUGGAGGAACACCGGUGGCGAAAGCGGCUCUCUGGCUUGUAACUGACGCUGAGGCUCGAAAGCGUGGGGAGCAAACAGGAUUAGAUACCCCUGGUAGUCCACGCCGUAAACGAUGAGUGCUAGGUGUUAGACCCUUUCCGGGGUUUAGUGCCGCAGCUAACGCAUUAAGCACUCCGCCUGGGGAGUACGACCGCAAGGUUGAAACUCAAAGGAAUUGACG
rnacentral:rRNA from 1 species